rnacentral:rRNA from 1 species
AUACGGAGGGGGUUAGCGUUGUUCGGAAUUACUGGGCGUAAAGCGCACGUAGGCGGAUUGGAAAGGUGGGGGUGAAAUCCCAGGGCUCAACCCUGGAACUGCCUCCAAAACUAACAGUCUAGAGUUCGAGAGAGGUGAGUGGAAUUCCAAGUGUAGAGGUGAAAUUCGUAGAUAUUUGGAGGAACACCAGUGGCGAAGGCGGCUCACUGGCUCGAUACUGACGCUGAGGUGCGAAAGCGUGGGGAGCAAACAGGAUUAGAAACCCUAGUAGUCC